GAUGAACGCUGGCGGCGUGCCUAAUACAUGCAAGUCGAGCGAACAGACGAGGAGCUUGCUCCUCUGAUGUUAGCGGCGGACGGGUGAGUAACACGUGGAUAACCUACCUAUAAGACUGGGAUAACUUCGGGAAACCGGAGCUAAUACCGGAUAACAUGUUGAACCGCAUGGUUCAACAGUGAAAGACGGUCUUGCUGUCACUUAUAGAUGGAUCCGCGCCGCAUUAGCUAGUUGGUAAGGUAACGGCUUACCAAGGCAACGAUGCGUAGCCGACCUGAGAGGGUGAUCGGCCACACUGGAACUGAGACACGGUCCAGACUCCUACGGGAGGCAGCAGUAGGGAAUCUUCCGCAAAGGGCGAAAGCCUGACGGAGCAACGCCGCGUGAGUGAAGAAGGUCCUCGGAUCGUAAAACUCUGUUAUUAGGGAAGAACAAAUGUGUAAGUAACUAUGCACGUCUUGACGGUACCUAAUCAGAAAGCCACGGCUAACUACGUG
rnacentral:rRNA from 1 species